UUUUAUGUGGAAAUGUCUCCUCCUUAUUCCUUUAUGAACAGAAAUGUAUUCAUUACAUGCUACAUUUUAAAAGGAGUUCUCAGAGUUGCCAGUCUUAAGGUAGAGGUUGAGUAGUGGCCUGCCUAUUUCUGCUGCAUAA
ensembl:snoRNA